GCUUAAUAUUAAAAUUUUAUUUGGUUGAAUUUUUAAUUAUAAGAACUUAGUAACUAAAUUUAUUUUAUUGGGGUGAUAAGAGUAAAAUGAUUAUUAACUGCUUAAUCUCAAAUACACUUAUAGGUGAUUAAAUUUUUAAAUGAUCCUAAUUAAAGAUUAAAAGUUCAAGUU
rnacentral:rRNA from 1 species